rnacentral:sRNA from 1 species
CCUUAGCCCCGAUAAAAGUGAAAAUCCUUUCUAGUCCUGAACUUGUUUCAGGAUCCUGAAACAAGUUCAGGACUAGAAAGAUUGUAACGGAUAGCGGGAAAUAGC